rnacentral:rRNA from 1 species
AUCUAGGGCCAUACCGCCCAGGACAUGCCCGAUCUCACCUGCUCUUGGAAAUCAAGCAGGGUCGGGCCUGGUUAGCAUUUAGAUGGGAGGAUAGGAGAACUUCUAUA